UGGUGGAAGACCUAUGGACUUAAUAUUUAUGGAGAGGUUUAGAUUUAGAUCUUAUCUAAUCAGUCAUUAUAUGAUCAAUCUAAGUGACAUGGGCUAAACCAGAUUGCUAAGCAACCUAAUUCAAAUCGCAAUCUUUCAAAUUGACUAGAUAAGUGGAGAUCGGUGGGGGUCCCCCCGUUGCCUUCCUAAGACACCAAUAGAUUGGCC
rnacentral:lncRNA from 1 species